CACGCCCUAAACGAUGCGAACUGGAUGUUGGGUUCAAUUAGGAACUCAGUAUCGAAGCUAACGCGUUAAGUUCGCCGCCUGGGGAGUACGGUCGCAAGACUGAAACUCAAAGGAAUUGACGGGGGCCCGCACAAGCGGUGGAGUAUGUGGUUUAAUUCGAUGCAACGCGAAGAACCUUACCUGGCCUUGACAUGUCGCGAACUUUCCAGAGAUGGAUUGGUGCCUUCGGGAACGCGAACACAGGUGC
rnacentral:rRNA from 1 species